UCCCAUCUGGCAGUCAACAAAUUAGGUUCGGUUCCACUUAAGUUGCAAAAUGGCCAAAUUCAGCUUACUUCUGCUUUUGGUGCUAGCAUCAAGUGCAGCCAUCGAUUCCAAGUCCCUAGUGACUCGAUACUGCGGAAGAGAACUUGUAAACUUGUUGGAAAUGGUUUGUGGGGGAAUCACAGGGUCCAACGAUCAUCAAAUAGCAAGACGUAGUAUUGUAGAGAAUUGUUGUGUUAAUAAAUGUACUUUCAACCAAUUGAAGGAAUAUUGUAUAAAUGGCUUGGGUUCUGAAUAAAAGUGCAUCUGAAACUGACUGUGCCAGAAGAAUGUUUUCAUUAAAU